UACGGGAGGGUGCGAGCGUUUGUCCGGAAUCACUGGGCGUAAAGGGCGCGUAGGCGGCCCCUGGCAGUCGGUGGUGAAAGCCCGUGGCUCAACUGGCGGGCUCGGCCACCGAUGACUCCAGGGCUCGAGUUUGGUAGAGGCAGAUCGGGAAUUCCGGGUGUAGCGGUGGAAUGCGUAGAGAUCCGGAAGAACACCGGUGGCGAAGGCGGUCUGCUGGGCCAAGACUGACGCUGAGGCGCGACAGCGUGGGGAGCAAACAGG
rnacentral:rRNA from 1 species